GCCUGCAAUAGCCCAUGUUUGUGGAAUAAACAACUUACCUUGUGACCUUGCCAGCCCGUCACAGCUCUCUCUCAGGAAGUGAGUAACACCAAACCACCUAUAUAACGGACAAAACUUCUCCUGGGCAGAGAGCUGCUGAUCUGGGCAGGGACCGCCAGGAGAGCACCGGCCUACUGCAGGGUCACCACCGCCCCCCGCCCAUGAAGCCAUGCCAAAGACCUGUCUCCUCUUCUUCCUCACCAUCUUCUGCACAGGGGUCUCAUUGGAUAUAAUUUUGAAACCGGAUACCAAAGCACUGACUGUCCUCAUUGGGGAGGCUGCUACCUUCCGUUGCAGUGUAAUAGGAGGGGACCUGAAGAACUAUCAAAUAAGCUGGUAUAAGAAGAGUGAAGAUAACUCGCUGAUUUUGAUCUCCAAACUAAGCAACAAUUCUAAUGACAAUUUAGGGAAUAAUUUCAAGGUGAAAAUCGAUACUUUAAAAAGUCAAUUUAUGCUUGACAUUCAAAAAGCAACAACACAAGAUGUUGGGACUUACUACUGUGCGUCUGAUAUCCACAGUGCUGCGGGCUCCGUUUCUGACCGCUUCAGAAACCCUAGGGCCAAACUGAGGCGGCAUAUCCAAUUCGAGACCACCCCGGGCUAAAAUGUGCACCACACCUGAGGUGAAGCUGCCUGAUCACUUCAACAGUAACAUCUGAUAAAAGAGGCCAUGAGUUCAAGUGGGGGCAAGGGGCUUAUCUUUGCAGUUGGCUUAGAGGGGCCUUCUUUAUCAGUUGAAGAGGGCAGAAAAGACUGUGAGGAUUUUUGUGGAGAGAUGUUGUGGGGGGAGGGGGGUUGCUGCACCUGUCUCUCACAGGCUCCUGAGGAAAGGUUGAAAAUAACAGCUUUUAAUACUGAAUAGGCCCUCUCAUUGUGAAGGCAGGCUGAGGUAAACAGAACUUUUACUAUCAUGAGUGCUAUAGCUCAUUGCAGUCUUUAUUGUGAAAGUGUUCAUGUGCAUAAGCCAGAUAAAGCAAGGAUGGUUUUCCAUUACCAUCCUAAUCAAAAUUUCCAAAGCUAUUAGAGAUAGCUUUAAUUCUUACUCUGUGAAGAAGGGUGAAUAGAGUCAUUUUCUGAAAUGUUUCCACAACUAUUUCAGGUAUUGAGUGUUUUAUAUCUUCCCUCAGCUGUCGAAGAGUCCUGGGGACCGGUAGGGGUGAGCAGGAAGGGGAAAUGCACAGGCUUCCUUCAUGCCGGUUGCUGAGAGAGAGCUUAGAGACAAAUACUUGUGGCAAUGUGGAAUUUCUGAGUUGAGCAUGGGUCAACUAAAUUUAAAAAUUUAUUUGAUUCCCGAGUCCCAAGCUGAAAUGGGUAAGCCAAGAAGGUAUGAGACUGCAGGGAGCAAAUACCUGGAGGAACCCACUGAGCAGACGAGUAGGCAGAGGGGCUUAAACAUACAAACAUUAAACCCUCAUCCAGGUAGUGCCUUCAUCCUGUUGGCUCUCUUUGUUCUGCUCAAAUAUCUGUCUGGAAUCCUCUCUCUACCUAAGGUUAAAAUUCGGGCAUUAGGACACAGAGUAGACAUAACCGUAAAAAUUACAACUAAAAGUCAACCCUCCUGAUACCUUCUAUUCAACGUUUCUUCCAAUGUGCUAUCAUCUUCAUCACAUGUUUUUUCUAGGAUACUUACUGUUCAUGGUAUUGGGACGGGUCAUGGGAAUAGCAAAGUUCUAAGGCAAGUUCUAGUCAAAGUUCUAUUCUCAUCAAUGUGUUUUCAAUUUAGUUUUAAAAGACAGGGCAUUCGAAAGUACAAUUAAAGAUUACAAAGAAUACAAAAAUAUAAGACAGCACAUAUGAUAAUGAGGGUUAGUGAUUUCAUGUGCAGCGCUCUAGGAGUUUAUGAAAGGACCAACCACUCUGAGAAAAGUUUCUUAGGUUUGAGACUGCAGUGAGCUAUGAUCACACCACUGCACUCGAACCUGGGUGAAAGAGUGAGAUCCUGACUCAA